GAGGGUAUAGCUUAGUGGUAGAGUGUGUGCUUAGCAUACAUAAGGUCCUGGGUUCAAUCCCUGGUACCUGCA
rfam:Camelus ferus unplaced genomic scaffold scaffold588, whole genome shotgun sequence.